GUCUGCGUAACUCAGUGGUAGAGUGUGAGAUUGCAACCACUUAUUUGAAGGUCGCCAAUAGGCGCCAACAACAAUCUUGAAGUCGCGUGUUCGAACCACGCCGCAGACU
rnacentral:tRNA from 1 species